GGCGGCAGGGGAGGGAGGGUUGGGGGACAUGCUGGGGAAGUGUUUGCCUUUCGGGGGAAAGACGCAUCUCUGAUACUGUCCAGGGCAGCUGAGAAGGAUCCCAUUGCGACGGGGGAAAAAACGCAGUUUGGGCGCACACGCUCUGGAGGUGGGACAGUCAAAAUGAUGCGUGGGUGGUGCAGCGUUGAGCCGUAUUGAUGGAUGUGUUAACAGACAGCAGUCUCACAUUGAUUGUGAAGACUUCAGAACCCGAGAAUCCAAAUGCAGUGGAGAGCACAGGUAACUAUUCAGGGCUAUGUGAGCAGAGUAGCGAUCUGAGUCUGUGCGGGCUCGUCGAUGCUGCUCUCCCUCCGUCCUCGCCUCCACCUGCCGCAGAGACUUCACAACAGGCCUGCCCAGCGCAUCAGAGGACCACUCCUACAUCGCCAGCCCUCCCCUUGCCCCUUGGGACUGAGCCCACUCUGGGCCUAACAGUAGCCCCUUCCUCCAAUGACCCUCCAACUGUGGUUCCCCAUCUUCACCACACGCCCGCUCCCUCAUCACUCUCUAGCCCAGCUGUAAGCUCCUGGGCGCCGACAGGAGACAACCAGAAAACGUCCCUUCCAUUACCCGUUGCCCUCCCUCUAUCAGCGACAAUGAUGGAGCCUGGCACUGUGUCUGGCCUGACGGAGGAGUGUCUUCUUCAGCCUAACCGAACUUGCCUCGGCUGCUUCAUUGAAACACGUGAUGCCACUGACCCUAACGCCAUCCAGAACACACCCCACGACCCCACCGCCAACCCUGACACGGAGACUGGUCUAAGUGUAAGGAUAGGGGAUGUGAGCCGAGAGGACUUCUCUGACAUCAACAACAUCAGCAUUCAGUGCCUGAGCCACGCGGGGGAGGCAGUGAGUCACUAUGGAGAACAGCUCCUCUCUGACCAGCUACUUAGCUUUCCUCUGCCAAAAGCCCCAGGUGAGGGCAAGAGAGGGGAUGCAAACAAAACAACAGGGGACUGCGAUGACCCGGAAGAUGAUGCAACAGCUAAGAAUUUGUAUGAAGGACUGUUACUAGACAAGGUUAGUGGAGAAGAAGUUCUCCUGGCUAACGCCAGCCAGGACUGGGGCUACUUUGAGUCUUUUAUCAGUGAGAGUAAGAUGGAACUGCUGGACCUUUGUUCUAAGAAUGAACUGUCGGUCAACCUCUUCUCAGAGGAAGAUGUCGACAAUCUGUUUGACGAUGAAGACGACGAUUCAACAUUAAGCAGUGAUGUCUGUUCGCUCAAGAUUCGUUAUGAGUCUUUCCAGGACAACAUGAGGGAAAAAACAAAUGUUCUGCAGGAAGAGACGCAGUUCAACUUCUUCCCCAGUGUCCUGGCCAACUGUGCCAAGAAAGAGGAAGGAGCAGCAGUCUUGAGGAGAACCGCGGAGGAUCUUCAGCCCAAAACUGAUGAACUGAUCCUGGAGGGAGCACAGGAAGGAAAAGCCGGGGACUGCAGUGCUAGGAGUCCACUUGAUGGUUCCCACGGCUCGCCUAUGUCCACUCCCAAAGUCAGCUACCUAAUGGACUUCAAUUCCACAGAGGAGUCAGGGGAGUUCAGUGAUGACAGCUCCUGCACUGGCUCGUCCUCAGACACCCUGCAGGAGGGAAAGUUUAAAAAGAGCCACUCAAAGAGAUUCCUCAGUCCCUCGAACCCUCUCAACUAUGGCUUGCGUUCCAAAAGAAAGGUUCGAUACAGCGAUGAUUACUUAUAUGAUGUCGACUCGCUUGAGAGUGAGAAAAAUGCGGAGAAAAAGGAGAAAGCCCCUGCUGGUCAGAAAGAAGAGGAGGAUGUAGACUGGUGCCCCAAAAAACGCCGGAAAUCCUGCCGCAAAGAGCCACCUGUGGUCAUCAAGUACAUCAUCAUCAACAGGUUUAAAGGAGAGAGACUCAUGUCAGUGAAACUGGGCAAGCUGGACCCUGUGGAUGCGACUGUGAGCUUAAAUGCCGACACAGUAAGCAAAUAUGAGACACUGGCUCCUCUGAAGCAUUUCUGGCAGGAGAAGCAAAGAGAGAGACAGGAACAGCUUAAGCUGGCUGCCAGAGAUAAACAACAACGCGGUUUUCAUCUAAACGGACGCCACCAUCGCCCUUUUAAUUCUAGUCAUCCCAAAAGGAAAUACAAGAUUGCAAACCGGCUUAAGGUUCAGAGGAUUCACACUGUGGAGCAAUCAGCAACAGCACAGUCCUUCCCUCUCUCUGAUCGGGGCCAGGGAGGUGUCACUAAAGAAGAGGCCACCCCCACGGUAGGAGGAAUAAUAGCAGCCACAGGCCUCCCAGUCACAUUAGACACAAACUCCAUCACACACACAGUCACAGCCAAGAGCCGCUCCCAGGAGAGGGAGGAGAGGGAGGGGAGGAGAUUGGGAGGAAAUAAAAUAGUCAGGAUAAGGAAAUUCAAAAGCGAAGCCAGACUGAGGAGCAAGAAAAUAAAAGAGGCAGAAGGAGAGGAGGGGAGGAGUGUGACGAAUGAAACGGAUGCCUGUGUCACUGCGGCACAGAUUGAGGACCCCACUGCUGGGUUACAUGAGGCAGGCAUUAGCUCAACUACAGUCAAACCACAUUUCUCUGACAAUACCGCCACCGCUCAAGCCGCUGAGGAGAAAUUCCCCUUUGUUUCAUCCACCUGCUCUCCUGACAAAGCUGCCUCCUCCUCAGAGGAGGUGGAGACGGGUGUCCCUGUCAUCCCGGGGGGCUACCUGCAGACCCUGUUAGAUGCCACAGACUCCUCAGGUGGAGCAGCUAUCUCUUAUUUCCCCCAGCAGUCCUCUAGGCAGCAGUAUUCUCUUGGGCUGUCCCUGGAGGAGAAACAGUUUUCUUCUCUGCAGCUCGCUCAGAGCUGCGUCCUCUCGCCUCCCUCUGAGUCCGAGCUCCAGCAGUCUCCUCAGAACUGCCCCAGCUUCCCCCAGAUGUGGCACCCACAGCUCUGUGCAAGUCACAGCCAGAGCUUUGGGUCUGAGACGCCCGAGACUCCCAUCUUACCCAACAACUUCCCAGCUGCUGUUCCCCUGAAUGACAGUCUGCCAGUGUCUAACUACAGCCAGCUGAGCCCUGAGGCUGACAGGCUGCUUUAUGAGAAGAGCUACCUGAGUGAGUCUGGGCUGCAGCCCGGGGCAGAUCUGCAAGUGUGUCAGUCUGCCUGCGUGGAGGGCCAGGUGCAAUACCAGCGAGGGUCCCUGUGCACAGACAAUGGCAGGCUCAUCAGCUAUGACUCAGUGGGCUCUCUGUCAGCCUCCUCCAGCAAUUACAGCUCACUCAGCCUCAAGUCUUGUGAGCGAGAGGGUGAGGAGGAGGGCCGAGACAGCUUCUUAGCUCAUUGCAGUCCUAAAGUGGUGAUUCAGCAGAGUGUGGAUGCCCUUACCCCACUCAGGGAGUCCUCAGACCUGCUGGAUAUCUCUAACUUCACCCCUGACAAGUUUAGGCACUCAUCACUCUCAGAGCUUUCCCCUCCUGAGACCCCAAAUCUGUCCCCUCAGGUUGUUGGGCGUGAGAUGAAGAUGGCAGGAAAUGUUGGAGAAUACCAGGAUGUGAAUGAUAUAAGCAUGGACUGCAAUAGGGAGGUAAAGUGGAACUGUGAUGUCAUACAGCAACAGGAGCGCACGGCAAGCGCAUACCCGGUGGAGGACAACCAGUUUCCGCUACACAACUUCAACAAUCAAGAUGUCUUAGGUUUAGAUAAAAAAGAGAUGGCAGCUACAGAAUUUGAUGAACAGAAUGGAGCGAAAAGCAUAAAGUCAAAAAGGAAAGGCAGCUGCAAACAAACAGCAGGAGGACAGUGCCCGAAAAAGGUCCGGGCUCCGAGAGCCCCCAAGUCAGAGAAGGUCAAGACUCCCAAACAGAACUCUCGCUCCACCAAAAAGAUAAAGGCCAUGUUAGAGGGUAAAGCAGCAAAGAACCAGGCAGGUGGUACAGGCCUGACUGACAGUAGCAGCACUGGGGACUGGCCUGGCACCGGAUGGUCGGAGAGUAACAGCCUGGUGGGGGAUGACCAGAGAGAAUUUGAGGAGCCCUCCAAUAUUCUGUCCAACAUUGUCUCUGGCAUGGCUGAGGUCCAAAGGUUCAUGAUGGCCUCCAUUGAGCCACUGUGGAACCCCAUGUCGGAGGCCUGCAUGCCCUCUGAGGCCAACAGUCUCAACCUAAAGACCCUCAAAAUCUUGGCAGGUACUGAGGCUGACCUGAAGAAAAAAGGAGCUGUGCUCACAGGGGCUGGGAGAGGCAGAAAGGCAGGGGGGAAAGGAGGCAAAAACCAGGCCAAAUUCAACCCCUCUCAUUCUUUAUUCCCUCAACUUGCUCUAGGCUGUAACAUGUUUGAUAAACCCAACUUUAUUAACCCCGGGCCUGCUCACAAAAAGCUGUACCGCCACAAGACGAGUGCAAAGUUCCCUCGGAUUGAGACACUGAAGGGGAAGCGAGCUGAGAGAGACCCAAAUAAGGACAUAGCACUGAUGACCUCUUUUGAGAAACUGAGGCACCAACAGCUGGCAGUGGUACACCACCACUCACUAAACCAAAUCAGAAAGACUCUGAAUUCUCCUCGUUUCCCCCCACUUUGUUUGCCAAAUUCAAUUUACCUCAACAUCGCCUGGCACUGAGAAGCAACAAAAGAGAGGCAAAGGGGAGAUCUGCUCUGAAGGCUACUGUAGAGGAAGGAGAUGAAAAAAAAGAGAGAGAGAGCUGUUCAAAUGAGCUUUCUCUGGACCAAGAAGAGUGUAGCGCAGAUGUCUGAGGUGUAUCAGGGUUAGGACCAAGACAAGCUGCUGAUGGGAAGCUCCACAUGGGCUGCAAGCCCAUUUAGUCUGCCUUCUCUCAUUUCUGCCUAUUGUCAAAUUGAAUGUACUUCUCUGAGUUCAUAAAGUUUCUUUCUUUCUUUUUUUUCGGUUUGUUUUUAAAAUGUGCCACUGUUGAGCUGCCUCAUGUUAAUGGUGCUAAGAAAGCUGACAAUUGUUUUCUUUUCUUUACCGUUCAGUUUCGAUUUCUUUAUUUUCAUUUUUCGGUAUGUUUCAUUUCACCAGUGUUAAUGAAAAAAAAAAGAAAUGCAAAAUAGAUUAGGUUCCUAACCCUCUUUAUGAAUGUAUAUUAUAAUGUUAUGUUUGAUGUAUUCACUUCAUGAUUCUUUGACACUGAUUGGAAUUACUUUUGCUCUUUUCAUUAAAAGAUUACCGAGCUUUAUAUAUACUGUCUAGAGUUGUUACCAGAAGGAAUCUUAAUGAACUCUUGACACUACAAAAUCUUGUAUAUUUUUUGUGUGCCAAUUUGUAACAUAUUUUGUAAGUGUAUAUUUUUCUUAGAAAGUGCUGUGAAGUAUUCGUGUGUGUGAGUAACCUUUUAUGCGCCUCUAUGGGCAGUGGAAAGGAUAUACAAUGACAAGUUUCUGGUUUUAAAAACCAAAAUAUGAAAGUAUCAACAGAAAACUAGAAAUAUUUACAUUUUGUUGGGAGUUUUGUAAUAAGACCAUGAUCUUGUUGUGAGAGUGUUGUGUUACUGUGCAAAACACAAAUAAGCAAAGAAAAAAAAUGAAAACUUGGAAA